rnacentral:tRNA from 1 species
GCCUGGAUGGCUCAGUCAGUAGAGCACGUGACUCUUGAUGUCAUAGUUGUGGGUUCGAACCCCACGUUGGGUG